rnacentral:lncRNA from 10 species
CGAAGCGCUGCUGUCACCCCGGCCGCGCCCCCCAACUUUCUGCACAGUCGCGGAGCUGGAAGUUUCCGGGCUUCGCGGACACGCUGGGCUGGGUUUCAGUCGCGGCUCCGAGGUUGGCAACAAAGAGGGAAAGAAGGAGGAAAAGCAGGCCGGGGAGGGGAGGAAGAGAACCGCGCGGAGGCCGCGGCGCCGAGAGCCCCAGAACUUCCAAUUCUACCCAGAAGCUUUUUUCGUCGUGUUUUUCUCUUAGACAUGAUCCUCUCUGAGGUUGGUCCUGGGCUUCCAUACGUGAUUCAUGGAAGAGGUCUCAGCCCCAAGAGCCCCUGAGGGUACUGUCCACUCCCCCUGGAAACUUCCAGAACCUGACGUGGGGCUGAAGACAUAGAGGUAAUGGGGAUGGGCUGGUGGGGCGCUGGCUGGGACAAUGUGUGGAGCCCUUGUUUUCAGAGCUACAGAUGCUUGUCAGCUGACAGUUCGUUUCCAGCAUCCACAGUGGACCUCCUUUGGGGGAGCAUUUACCUGCCAAUGAACCCCAAGAUCCUUUCUCAGAGGCGGCGGGAUGAAGUUUUCCUUUUUUUUUUUUUUAGUUAAUAUAUUUUAUUUAAACCAAUAUAUCCAAAAUAUUAUCAGUUCAACAUACGAUCAAGAUAAAGAUUAAUGAGAUACUUUACAUUUUCAUACUAAAUCUUUUUUUAAAUUUUUGUGAGUACAUAGUAGGUAUAAACAUUUAGGGAUGAAGUUUCUUACUGUGUUUUCCCAGUAACAAGCACUGGCAUCAGCUGUCAUGAUUUCUCCCCAAGGCCUAGGAUGGUCAGCCUCGCACGCUCCACAGCAGAGUGACUGAAGCUCUAUCGAGGUGUGGCACGAGCGUGUUGUCAUUUCAAGAGAAUCUGCAGCCUCCCUGGUUUUUAAUGAAAGCUCCUAUGCAGGGCCUGGCCCUUUCCUGGGGAGGGAAGGCUGGCUGUGUCUCCCGCUGCAUCCUCACUGGGAACUUCAUUCCUGAGCUGCGACCGCUAUUUUUUGGAUUGGAAAAUGCCUUGGGAACGGCUCAUCUUCCUGCGGCUUGAGCCCAUUUGUUUUCUGACUGGUGGUCACUGGUGAUUAGAGUGUGUCCCAAAGGGAACCGUCACCUUAGUUCUAUCAUACACUAUCAAUAACUUGUCCAGGGCUGACUUUGUGGCUGUGUGGCUUGCCCAGUGGUAGAGGGCCGGUGUGCAGAAGGGCCCCACACUCAAUGUUUGGCUGUCCCCGGUCUUAAAAUUCUUAGUCAUUCUUGAACAAGGGAACCCAUAUUUUCAUUUUGUUCUAGGCUCUGAGAGUUACAUAAUUGAUUCUGACUUUGGCUGUUGGUCAACAGUGUCAUAAGGUAAAAUAAGGCUGUUGUAGAAUCUGCUCAGCCAGGGAGGGGAAAGGAGUCGGCAAUCAGGUCUCCUCCUGGGCACCUUUGUGAGGCCAGCUGGCGAGAGUGGGGGGUGACACUGAGGUCCCAGCAGCUCCAAAUGCAGGCAGAGCCCUGUCCUCAGAGAAGGUCACAGCCUAGCCAAGCCCAGCCAGGUGGAUGGGCCCACGGAACGCACAGGAACCUGGAACGGAGGUUGAAAGCAGGAAGCACAGUCUGUGACUCCCCAGCCCACUCUGCAUUCGACCACUUGGGGCCCAGAAGCUUCAGGAAAGGUGCACAAGGUCACUGGGUCCCAGUACUCCCAACAGGAAGGUCUGGUCCAGGGACAGGGCUCUUCCCGACUCCCCUUAGCCACACGCACCAGAAGUUCUGCAGUGCCCAGUGGGCAUAGCAGUCCCCAAGAAUGACCCAGCACUGAAGCUGAGCCAAAGAACUUGGGGAGCGAGCCACACCCCCUCACUCCCUCUUCGCCUGCUCCAGACUUGCCAGGCGGUUGCUUUUCGUGGGAACCGGGAUGUCCUCACCACCCUGUCCAGGGCCCAGCCCCAUGUCCCUGGCCUGCUACAGCUGGAAAAAAAAAAGAGAGAUGUUUGUUUUUAUUUGUUUAUAAAAAGAAAAGUGUUAUAUAUAUAACAUAUUAUACCUCAUGAAUACAUACAAUUAUUUGUCAAUUAACAAUAAAGAAAAAUACAGCAAGCAAAAAAGA